GGUGUGUAAGCGCUGUGAGGCGUUGAGCUAACCUGUACUAAUGGCCCGUGAGGCUUAACCAUACAACACCCAAG
rnacentral:rRNA from 1 species